AGCUCCUCCUCGGUCGAUGGCAUCGUCGGAGCUGCUGCCGAGCGCGCCGCCGCCAAGCCGACGCGCGUGUACACGCGCUCCGAGCUGCUGAUGUUCUCGCGGUCGGCGGUGGCCCGGUACCCACCCAGGGGCUGGGCCGAGGUCCGGCAGCGACACCCCACCAUCACGCGGGCCACGCCCAAGGUGUUCGACCCGGAUGAGUUCUCGGCGCGGCCGGCGGCCGCGAUCUGCCGCCAGGGCUCGGCCGACUCGGCCAGUCGCUCCCCCACGCCGCCCUAGACGCCUGCUGUGUCGGCGGGUGGCCGUCCCGGUGCCAGCCUCGCCCCAGGCCUACUGAACCGAGCGCCCGCCCGCGGACGGAGAGCCGUGUCCAUCUUGUCGUUACCACUUCGCCAAAGAAAGCUGCUGCUCCUACUCAGAUGAAUCAAUAACGUAUCGCGUGUGUGGUCGUAGAGUUAGCGCCAGUCGUGUUGUCUCGGGGAACAGAUCUGAGUAAAGCUGGCUGUCCGAACCCUUCAGGUACGCCAUGUUCUAGUGCUUUCACAAGUGGAGCUAGACGUUCGCAGUGCUCCCACGCCUUUGUCGAACAAGACCAGAACAUGCAUGGAAUGCUGUUUUUGUGGCGUGCAACUUAUUACCAGGUGUGGGAAUCAUCGGUGUGAGCAAGCAACCAAUUUGCAAGCUAACGCAUUAAAUUGGCGUGUUUUUUUCUGUGGUUGUGAAAAGUGCAGCUAUGGAUGCAAUACUGAGCGGAGUUAAGCACCAGGUCUGUCAGCCUACCUUGCUAGCUCAGAAUUGUACAUUGAUGUCUCGAAGGAUAUGUGCAAAGUUGUCUCCUGUGUGCUUGAUGCUAUCUUGCUUCUUUGGUUCCUGCAAUUGGAUGCGCGUUGGACGUACGCUUCUUCGGCCUGCUUUGGUCAUUGGAUGACUUAUGUGAUCUGCUUUGAUCACUGGCCAGUUGCCCCUGGACGUUAUCCGCGUCUGAGGGGCCCGAUCAGCUGCAGGAAACCCGGCUUCCCUUUGCAAUCAUUGUGUUGGCGCUGAACGCCCUGUUGCAAUACACUGUACCGAAAUCCC
rnacentral:lncRNA from 1 species